CAAUUAUGCAGUUGUCCAACACCAGCUUUGCAGAUGAACAGAAAAGUGAAUUAAGGUGAUACAGACAAUGUUCAACAGAAAUAAUGUGUUUAGACCAGAAGAAAAUCAUCAUCAAAUACAACAAUCAGUUAACAGAAGUGAUGACUUGCUACAGUAGGGCAAAAUCUGAAGAGGAAACUCACUAUAGAGAUGUCCAUACAUUCUGUCAAAUACUACGUGAUGAUCCAUUCACCAUUCAGAAGUAAAAGGUUCAACUCAAUAACAGUACUUAGAUCUCUCCCUUUUCAUCUCUUUCUGAGAACUGAGGAUCUUUGACCUGAAGUCAGGACUGACAGUGCAAGGCAGGAUGCCUGUGAACCACCAGUCCUA